rnacentral:rRNA from 1 species
GCUCAGGACGAACGCUGGCGGCGUGCCUAAUACAUGCAAGUCGAGCGGACUUGACGGAGCUUGCUCCGUUCAGGUCAGCGGCGGACGGGUGAGUAACACGUGGGCAACCUGCCCAUCAGAUUGGGAUAACUCCGGGAAACCGGGGCUAAUACCGAAUAACAUCGAAAGCCUCAUGGUUUUCUUUUGAAAGGCGGCUUCGGCUGUCACUGCAGGAUGGACCCGCGGCGCAUUAGCUAGUUGGUGGGGUAACGGCCCACCAAGGCCACGAUGCGUAGCCGACCUGAGAGGGUGAUCGGCCACACUGGGACUGAGACACGGCCCAGACUCCUACGGGAGGCAGCAGUAGGGAAUCUUCCGCAAUGGACGAAAGUCUGACGGAGCAACGCCGCGUGAGUGAAGAAGGUUUUCGGAUCGUAAAACUCUGUUGUCAGGGAAGAACAAGUAUGGGAGUAACUGCC